UACGGAGGAUGCAAGCGUUAUCCGGAAUCACUGGGCUUAAAGCGUGUGUAGGCGGAUCGUUAAGUGUCUUGUGAAAUCCCACGGCUCACCCGUGGAACUGCUGGGCAUACUGGCGAUCUUGGGCCAACUAGGGGCAACUGGAACAAGCGGUGGAGCGGUGAAAUGCGUAGAUAUCGCUUGGAACGCCGAAGGUGAAAACAGGUUGCUGGGGUUGUGCCGACGCUGAGACACGAAAGCCAGGGGAGCAAACGGG
rnacentral:rRNA from 1 species